UAUAUCUUGGUGUAUGGUGCACAAAAAUUUUUGAUGUUUUAGGAGUAGUUUGAUUCUAUGAGAUGUAA
rnacentral:tRNA from 1 species